GACGUAGGUGGCGACCGUUAUCCGGAAUUAUUGGGCGUAAAGGGUGCGUAGGCGGCCUGAUAAGUUAUUGGCGGUUAAUCGAGGCUCAACCUCGUGGAAACUGAUAAUACUGUUUUGCUUGAGUACAGGAGAGGUUAACGGAACUCCAUGUGGAGCGGUAAAAUGUGUAGAUAUAUGGAAGAACAUCAAUAACGGCGAAGGCAGUUAACUAUUCUGUUACUGACGUUGAGGCACGAAAGCGUGGGGAGCAAAAAGG
rnacentral:rRNA from 1 species